GACGAGCCUCACAAACGUUAUUCGGAAUUAUCGUGGCUUAAAGGGUGCGUAGGCGGUGCGGAAAGUUGGGUGUGAAAUCCCUCGCUCAACCGAGGAACUGCGCUCAAAACUGCCGUACUCGAGGAAGAUAGAGGUGAGCGGAACUUACGGUGGAGCGGUGAAAUGCGUUGAUAUCGUAAGGAACACCCGUGGCGAAAGCGGCUCACUGGGUCUUAUCUGACGCUGAUGCACGAAAGCUAGGGGAGCAAACGGG
rnacentral:rRNA from 1 species